rnacentral:rRNA from 1 species
CAUAGGUUAAUGAGGCGAACCGGGGGAACUGAAACAUCUAAGUACCCCGAGGAAAAGAAAUCAACCGAGAUUCCCCCAGUAGCGGCGAGCGAACGGGGAGCAGCCCAGAGCCUGAAUCAGUGUGUGUGUUAGUGGAAGCGUCUGGAAAGGCGCGCGAUACAGGGUGACAGCCCCGUACACAAAAAUGCACAUGCUGUGAGCUCGAUGAGUAGGGCGGGACACGUGGUAUCCUGUCUGAAUAUGGGGGGACCAUCCUCCAAGGCUAAAUACUCCUGACUGACCGAUAGUGAACCAGUACCGUGAGGGAAAGGCGAAAAGAACCCCGGCGAGGGGAGUGAAAAAGAACCUGAAACCGUGUACGUACAAGCAGUGGGAGCACGCUUAGGCGUGUGACUGCGUACCUUUUGUAUAAUGGGUCAGCGACUUAUAUUCUGUAGCAAGGUUAACCGAAUAGGGGAGCCGAAGGGAAACCGAGUCUUAACUGGGCGUUAAGUUGCAGGGUAUAGACCCGAAACCCGGUGAUCUAGCCAUGGGCAGGUUGAAGGUUGGGUAACACUAACUGGAGGACCGAACCGACUAAUGUUGAAAAAUUAGCGGAUGACUUGUGGCUGGGGGUGAAAGGCCAAUCAAACCGGGAGAUAGCUGGUUCUCCCCGAAAGCUAUUUAGGUAGCGCCUCGUGAAUUCAUCUCCGGGGGUAGAGCACUGUUUCGGCAAGGGGGUCAUCCCGACUUACCAACCCGAUGCAAACUGCGAAUACCGGAGAAUGUUAUCACGGGAGACACACGGCGGGUGCUAACGUCCGUCGUGAAGAGGGAAACAACCCAGACCGCCAGCUAAGGUCCCAAAGUCAUGGUUAAGUGGGAAACGAUGUGGGAAGGCCCAGACAGCCAGGAUGUUGGCUUAGAAGCAGCCAUCAUUUAAAGAAAGCGUAAUAGCUCACUGGUCGAGUCGGCCUGCGCGGAAGAUGUAACGGGGCUAAACCAUGCACCGAAGCUGCGGCAGCGACGCUUAUGCGUUGUUGGGUAGGGGAGCGUUCUGUAAGCCUGUGAAGGUGUGCUGUGAGGCAUGCUGGAGGUAUCAGAAGUGCGAAUGCUGACAUAAGUAACGAUAAAGCGGGUGAAAAGCCCGCUCGCCGGAAGACCAAGGGUUCCUGUCCAACGUUAAUCGGGGCAGGGUGAGUCGACCCCUAAGGCGAGGCCGAAAGGCGUAGUCGAUGGGAAACAGGUUAAUAUUCCUGUACUUGGUGUUACUGCGAAGGGGGGACGGAGAAGGCUAUGUUGGCCGGGCGACGGUUGUCCCGGUUUAAGCGUGUAGGCUGGUUUUCCAGGCAAAUCCGGAAAAUCAAGGCUGAGGCGUGAUGACGAGGCACUACGGUGCUGAAGCAACAAAUGCCCUGCUUCCAGGAAAAGCCUCUAAGCAUCAGGUAACAUCAAAUCGUACCCCAAACCGACACAGGUGGUCAGGUAGAGAAUACCAAGGCGCUUGAGAGAACUCGGGUGAAGGAACUAGGCAAAAUGGUGCCGUAACUUCGGGAGAAGGCACGCUGAUAUGUAGGUGAAGUCCCUCGCGGAUGGAGCUGAAAUCAGUCGAAGAUACCAGCUGGCUGCAACUGUUUAUUAAAAACACAGCACUGUGCAAACACGAAAGUGGACGUAUACGGUGUGACGCCUGCCCGGUGCCGGAAGGUUAAUUGAUGGGGUUAGCGCAAGCGAAGCUCUUGAUCGAAGCCCCGGUAAACGGCGGCCGUAACUAUAACGGUCCUAAGGUAGCGAAAUUCCUUGUCGGGUAAGUUCCGACCUGCACGAAUGGCGUAAUGAUGGCCAGGCUGUCUCCACCCGAGACUCAGUGAAAUUGAACUCGCUGUGAAGAUGCAGUGUACCCGCGGCAAGACGGAAAGACCCCGUGAACCUUUACUAUAGCUUGACACUGAACAUUGAGCCUUGAUGUGUAGGAUAGGUGGGAGGCUUUGAAGUGUGGACGCCAGUCUGCAUGGAGCCGACCUUGAAAUACCACCCUUUAAUGUUUGAUGUUCUAACGUUGACCCGUAAUCCGGGUUGCGGACAGUGUCUGGUGGGUAGUUUGACUGGGGCGGUCUCCUCCUAAAGAGUAACGGAGGAGCACGAAGGUUGGCUAAUCCUGGUCGGACAUCAGGAGGUUAGUGCAAUGGCAUAAGCCAGCUUGACUGCGAGCGUGACGGCGCGAGCAGGUGCGAAAGCAGGUCAUAGUGAUCCGGUGGUUCUGAAUGGAAGGGCCAUCGCUCAACGGAUAAAAGGUACUCCGGGGAUAACAGGCUGAUACCGCCCAAGAGUUCAUAUCGACGGCGGUGUUUGGCACCUCGAUGUCGGCUCAUCACAUCCUGGGGCUGAAGUAGGUCCCAAGGGUAUGGCUGUUCGCCAUUUAAAGUGGUACGCGAGCUGGGUUUAGAACGUCGUGAGACAGUUCGGUCCCUA